UGAAUUCUACGCCAAUGCUCUUAAGUUGGAGGAAGGAGUAUCUUUUCAUUACCAAACCAGGGUGAGGGGAAAGAUCAUCACCUUCAGUAGGGAUACGAUCAACACUUAUUUGGGUAAUCCUCUCACUUUGGUGGAUAACAGGCGGUGUGAAUACCGUGCCAAAGAAAUGGCCAAUAAUUGGGAUCUUCCUACUGUGAGUGCUCAUUUGUGCCUUGAGGGAAGGAAAUUUGAU
rnacentral:lncRNA from 1 species